UGUUGGAGCUGUUGGGUUUGCUUUUCCCGUUGUUGUCGUGUCGUGACCAUCGUCGCUUGCUUGUGUUAUGAGGUGUAUAAAAAUAAUUAUUAUAAUAACACCAACAACAACGGUGCCAGCGGCAACAGCAGUUGUAGUAGAGUAACUACAACAACAAAAGCAAAAGAAAGCCAAAGAAAACACACAAGAGCGAGCCCAAGAGAGAGGGAGAGAAGACACUGGCUACAGUAACAACAAUAGCAGCAGAGCAGCGUUAGCAGUGAAAACGAGCAAAAAAUAACAACAAUAUGAACUCUGACAACACAGCACAUUUAUCACGAUGCCACGUUGCCAAAUUUCGCCUUGGCAAUUUAUUUGUAGAAAUGUAUGUGAAUGUGUGUGGAUGGGUUUCUUUUUGCAAAAAAAAAAAACAAACAUUAAAUGUUUUUCUCCUCUUCUUCUUCUUGUUCUUCUAUUGAAUCAAUAUGAAUUUAAGCAGCUUUAA